AUCACGUGACAUACGUCGUCAUAACAACAAGUUAGUGGUUACCUGGAAUGAUGUCAAACUAGCGCAAUUUAACCACAAGGGACAGAAGUAUAAUAUAUGUAUUUUUAUUUUAAUAGAGCUGCGUUACCGCUUUUGGCUCAUCGAAUGAACACUUCGGGAUCUUGCCAGAAGUAGUAGGUCAUCCGGGUACUUUUUGCCAACUGGUUUUUAAAUACUAUGAAUUCGGACAUACUACUCGCCUACUGCUUUUCGCCUACUUACUAUUUAGUAUGGAAGUAUGCGGUUUCGCACGCAGCCCAUCUUUCAAGCUGACGUCCUGCGUCGCAAUCAUCCUCCUCGCGUCUUUUCUUUCGACCAAUCAGCAUUCAAAAGCAAGAUAAGGUCAUCCUCUUAUUUUUUUAUGGAGAACUUUUCGCGGUACAUUAGCAAUUCUCAGGUGUUCCAGAACCCAGAGGAGAAAGACCUGUUGAUGAGCAGGACCUGUAAGAUGAGGGGUUUGAGAAAGAGAUCAUGCAGGACAUCACAGUUCAGUGCUGAAUGAGGACCCCACAGCGUCUUUCCCCUUCAGUGCUGUCACAGCCAUGUGACACUGAAUCAGUCUCUCAGACGAGGCUCAGGACAAUAUUAUGCAAUGGCAAAGACGGUCUGUGCUUUGGGUAUUUUGCUGUUCAUAAUGGUGCAUGGAUAUCAGCGUAUGACCAACUAUUGCACCGUUUCACAAAAUACUGUUCAGUUUGGAAGAUAUAUACAAAGAUUAUGAAGACCUGAUAGAUCGGUGCCUGGAACGCGAUACAGCCAAAAGACCGACAUUAGAAGAGAUCUUACAACAAGAAGGGUUUGACAAGAAAUUAAGAUUCAUCACCGCUCUGGAUGACGCAGAUGAUUGUGGUGUCAUCUGCACACUUCGAGUUUGAUGGAGGGGUGUGUUAAAAUCCAGUCGUUGAUGUAAAGGAAGAAGAGAAGUGAAGAUCGCACACAUCCCUGAGGAGCACCAGUGCUAAUGGUGCUGGAGUGGGGUACUCUUACUUUACUUCAGAAAAUGGGAAAUCUCACCGGUUCCUAACUCCCAAGUCUGGAGGACAAUUACAGGGCACGUUCCACCCAGAAAGGUCACAGCCAUUUACAUCCUGGCCACAACAUCUGGCAAACGAUACAGAGUAUUGUACAGUAUCCUCUCACAAAACAGAUUCGUAUUCGUAAGACGUGACUAGCAGAAAACCAGCUCGUGACUUUACUCCCGCCCAUAUUCGCAGCAACGUCAGAAAAAAUAUUUUCAUGCUCAAAGUCUAGUAGGACCGCCCCUUAAGGUAGUUGCACUACUGAACGAUCUCUGGCACCAGAGAUCUUAACCACUUCUUCCAAAUUGCCUUGUAGUGCAAUUCUCCAUUAUGUAAUGAUGACUAAUUACAACUACGCUACCCUACCUUAGCAUCUGUCACUUUUAAGUGCAAAAUCCACCAAGGGAGGUUGCACUUUUACCCACCUUACACAUAAACUGUUGAUCAGCCUUCCUGACACUGGUCGGGGUUCAGACACAUUUCUUCAGACUGCAUACACAUAACUGCAUCCUGUAACUUUGCAUAAAGUUAUGAAUAACUAUCUUCUACCUAAAAAGCUAUGAACAGCAGCUACGCUAAUUUUCUCUCUUUGUUUUUCUGUUUCUAUGCUCAUCCUGAGGUAACUACAGUACAGAUUAUACCAGCUCCAGUCUGGAUCCCACCUCCAUCACAUGACCCAACACAUAAGGAACGAUGACACCGGCCCUUCCAAGGAUUUCAGACGACACCAGCGCUGGACUAUAAACUGACUGAUCUAUAA